rnacentral:rRNA from 1 species
GGGUGCAAAGCGUUACUCGGAAUACUGGGCGUAAAGCGUGCGUAGGCGGUUUGUUWAAGUCUGUCGUGAAGCCCCGGGCUCAACCUGGGAAUGCRWUGGAAACUGGCGAGCUAGAGUACSGGUAGAGGAGAGUGGAAUUCCCGGUGUWGCAGUGAAAUGCGUAGAGAUCGGGAGGAACAUCAGUUGCGAAGGCGGCUCUCUGGACCAGUACUGACGCUGAGGCACGAAAGCGUGGGGAGCAAACAGGAUUAGAUACCCUGGUAGUCCACGCCCUAAACGAUGCGAACUGGACGUUGGGAGCAAUUAGGCUCUCAGUGUCGAAGCUAACGUGUUAAGUUCGCCGCCUGGGGAGUACGGUCGCAAGACUGAAACUCAAAGGAAUUGACGGGGGCCCGCACAAGCGGUGGAGUAUGUGGUUUAAUUCGAUGCAACGCGAAGAACCUUACCUGGCCUUGACAUCCACGGAAUCUUUGAGAGAUCAGAGAGUGCCUUCGGGAACCGUGAGACAGGUGCUGCAUGGCUGUCGUCAGCUCGUGUCGUGAGAUGUUGGGUUAAGUCCCGCAACGAGCGCAACCCUUGUCCUUAGUUGCCAGCACGUAAUGGUGGGAACUCUAAGGAGACUGCCGGUGACAAACCGGAGGAAGGUGGGGAUGACGUCAAGCCAUCAUGGCCCUUACGGCCAGGGCUACACACGUACUACAAUGGUGGGGACAGAGGGUCGCGAAGCCGCGAGGUGGAGCCAAUCCCAGAAACCCCAUCUUAGUCCGGAUCGGAGUCUGCAACUCGACUCCGUGAAGUCGGAAUCGCUAGUAAUCGCGGAUCAGCAUUGCCGCGGUGAAUACGUUCCCGGGCCUUGUACACACCGCCCGUCACACCAUGGGAGUUUGUUGCACCAGAAGCAGGUAGCUUAACCACGCAAGUGGAGGGCGCUUGCCACGGUGUGGCCGAUGACUGGGGUGAAGUCGUAACAAGGUAGC